AACUUUCGGCAAUGGAUCUCUUGGCUCCGGCAUCGAUGAAGAACGCAGCGAAUUGCGAUAAGUAAUGCGAAUUGCAGAAUUUAGCGAGUCAUCGAGUCUUUGAACGCACAUUGCGCCCGCCGGUAGCCCGGCGGGCAUGCCCGUCCGAGCGUCGUUUACAAGAAUCGGGCGCGAGCCCGGCGUUGGGCACCUGCGGGACAGGCUCCCCAGCAGCGCCCCAAGUGUAGCGGCAGGCGCGGCAGGCGACCCGAGCGCAGUAGUUCGCUCGCUCAGGGCUCCCCGCGGCGCCUGGCCCUUCUGGAACUGCCCCCCGCACACCGCGGGCGGCACCGACGUCCGACCUCGGAUCGGGUAGGACUACCCGCUGAACUUAAGCAUAUCAAUAAGCGGAGGCU
rnacentral:misc_RNA from 1 species